GUGCCAAACUCUUUUCUUUUUGUUAACAUUGAUCAUGUGACAACUUGCAAGUGUAGAUGUAGCUGAGUGCUGUGAACAUAUUUGACAUGAAUUCAGAAGCAGAGUAUAUCCACAACUUAUCAAUGAGAAGUUGGAGAGGCAGUACUUUUCUCAGUAUGAAAGCCAAUUUGGGGGAUUUACUAACACUGGCUUGGAAAUUUGUUUUAAAAAAAUAAUAAGCAACUAUGCAUGGAUCUUUGAAGUAAAUCUUAAAAUUGAUUAUUUUUAUUAUGUACAAGCCUGAAAUUGUUUUCAUGUGUUCUUUAUAUUCCUGAUGUUUUUACAAAUUAAAUUUAGGCAUAACUUUUCCAAGGCAAUCUGAUUUUUUCUUUUCUGCCAGACUUGAAUUGUGUUCUUCCUUUACUUUGGCUGUUCUGUCAAUAAUUUAAAGCAUUCAUAUUCUUCCAGAGGAAUUACCAAUAGCAUGUGGAAAUUGUUUCAGAUCUACAGAAUGAAUACUUAUUUUAACAUAUGGUUAUUUUAUGAUUUAAGAAAGUUAUGGUAAAGUAAUACGGAGCACAAUUCAUAAUCCACAAUUAACGAGAAAAUAACUUGGAUACAUUAAAUGUACUAAUGUGUGGACCAAAGAGAUUUAAACUAUUGUUUUUACUCUAGAAUGAAAGUAUAAUUGAACGGUUAAUAAUUAGUUUGUAGAGUGUCCUGCAGUUAUCUCAUUAUCAAGUUGCUUUAUGUUAUCAAUUGUGUGUGUAUGUGUAUACUUUUAAUUUUAGGGGUUAUUUUUGGUUUCUUUGCUGUUUUCAGUUAUUUCCAUUGAGAUUUUAUGCAACUGUCUCUCUUUUGAUGUUUUGAGAUGCAGUUGAAUAGUUUGAGUUUAUGAAUUGUCUUAAUAGCUAUUUAUAUGCUGAAAUUUUUAAAAAGUUAGUAGCUUUCCUAUAGACACAAGAAAUGUUUAAUGAUAUAUAUACACACACGUAUAUAUAAUUAUAUACGUAUAUAGAGAGCUGCUAUAUAUGAAUACAGUCUACUUGGAAAGCUUUUUUUCAGUGAACACUUUCAUGUUCUAGUGGAAAUUUGUUCAGUGUAAUGA
rnacentral:lncRNA from 1 species